rnacentral:rRNA from 1 species
UCGUAAAGCCCUGUUGUCGGGGACGAAGGCCGACGGGUUAAUAGGCCCUAGCUUGACGGUACCCGACGAGGAAGCCCCGGCUAACUACGUGCCAGCAGCCGCGGUAAUACGUAAGGGGCGAGCGGUGGCCGGAAUCAUUGGGCGUAAAGAGCGGGUAGGCGGCUCGGUAAGUCCGGUGUGGAAACCCGGGACUCAACCCCGGGCGUGCACUGGAUACUGCCGGGCUAUAGGACGGCAGAGGCGAGUGGAAUUCCCGGUGUAACGGUGAAAUGGGCAAAUAUCGGGAGGAACACCAGUAGCGAAGGCGGCUCGCUGGGCCGUUCCUGACGCUGAAACGCGAAAGCUAGGGGAGCGAACAGGA